rnacentral:rRNA from 1 species
UACGUAGGGGGCAAGCGUUGUCCGGAAUUACUGGGCGUAAAGCGCGUGUAGGCGGGACGACAAGUCCGGCGUGAAAGGCUUGGGCUCAACCCGAGAUGGCCGUUGAAACUGUCGUUCUUGAGGGUCGAAGAGGAGAGUGGAAUUCCUGGUGUAGCGGUGAAAUGCGUAGAGAUCAGGAGGAACACCCAUGGCGAAGGCAGCUCUCUGGUCGACCUCUGACGCUGAGACGCGAAAGCGUGGGGAGCGAACGGG